rnacentral:tRNA from 1 species
GAUGGAAUAGCUUAGUGGUAGAGUGUGUGCUAAGCAUGAACGAGGUCCUGGGUUCCAUUCCCAGUACCUCCA